UAUAUAUAUAUAUAUAAUUUAACCAGUGCUGUGAAUAGACUCAAUACCAUCUUUCAUCUCUUCAGUAUUAUAGCACUAGCUAUACUAAAUAUGGCCAAGUUCUUUCUAUAUUUUUUUGCCAGGAUUUUCUUCUUUCUUGAAUUAUAUAUGAUCGUUCUUUGCAUUUCUUCUGGUCUUUCUUGGUGUCUACGUCAUGACCUUCUCAUGCCUGCCUAAAUUAUUUCUUGAGCAUCUGGUCUACCGAUCGAAUUCGUGAAAGGAGAGUUAUGUAUUAAUGGAUAUACAGUGACUAUUAUGCAUGCAGAAAAGGAUCAGCUGUGCUUGUGUUUAAUUACUAGAUUGUGUUAUUAGAAGAUGCAUAGCUUGUAACGUGUAAUGUGGGAGAGGGUUGAAAAGUUAGGGGGCAGUUAAACAAGCAUGGAAAUGGUCUACCGAUCGAAUUCGUGAAAGGAGAGUUAUGUAUUAAUGGAUAUACAGUGACUAUUAUGCAUGCAGAAAAGGAUCAGCUGUGCUUGUGUUUGAUUACUAGAUUGUGUUAUUAGAAGAUGCAUAGCUUGUAACGUGUAAUGUGGGAGAGGGUUGAAAAGUUAGGGGGCAGUUAAACAAGCAUGGAAAUGGUCUUCUUGUCAUGACAAGUUCAGAAUUUUGGUGGAGGUGUACUUCAAAAGAAACUCAUGAGUUGCGUUAAUUUGGAGCUGUAUAAGCAAAAGUCAAUCAAAGAAUGGAGGCUGGGGGCAGAUUUGUCUCCCCAUGUGGGUCCGCAACCACAAUCCUGACGUCGAGGCUUUGUCAUUGAUGCAUUCAUGGUCAGCAUCUCGCCUGUUUUUGGAUGAAUACACAAAUCACUGUGGAGCUAGCUAGCUCGUUGGCAUUCUAACCGGGCAAUGCACCUCAGCCUGUUAUGUCAUAGGUACACGCUACACAGGUAUAUAGUGUAGAAAUUGGUAAUGGACGUUUUCUUUAAUUUAUGCAAUAAUCUUUCCUAGUGUGGUUUCACAUCACGAGAAUGAAGAAAUGCAGGAGCAUUCCUCAAUUUUCCUUCUA